UUGAAAGAAACAAUUUCGUAUCCUUUUGAUUGUUUCAAUUUGUAUUUUUCUUUUCUUUUUCCAUUAUAUUUAAUUCAUCAAGAUGAUGAUGAGUAAUUAUCAUCGUAAUGAUGAGUAUCAUCUGGAGGAAGGUAAUUGAUGAAAGUGAGUAAUUAUAAUAACAAAGAGUAAAGGAGACAAACAGAUGAAAAUAUCAUCAUAUUCAUGUAAUACCAUCAACAAGCCCAUCAUCAUUUUCAUCAUCAUCGCAAUCAUAAUCAUCAUUAAAGGAGAAAAAUGAUAGAGAUAAACUGACACACCCAAUCGUUUGUGAUGUUCAAGUCUAUCUAACAAACACUCACCGUUAUCAUGUGAUAAUAAUGAUCAUCAAACCGAUCGGAGAUCAUUUAUUUUCAACUACUUUUCGAGUUCGAAGGUGGAAACACAAUUUGUCUUCUAAAUGUUUAUUGGUUUCAAAAGGUAAUUUCAUAAGCAGAAAACGGGAGAAGAAGAAGAAAAAAAGAUGAUACAAGGAUCUCUUUCUCGCUUGAUCAAGUACAUAAUCCAUGAAAAUAACCCUUGGGACAAUGUGUAUGUUGUUAAAAAUGUUUUCCAGCAAGAAUAGAUGAUGAAGAUGAUGUACUUGUCAAUAAAGAACCUGAGUAAAGUAAAAGUGAUGAGGAAAAACCAAAGAUUUCAUUUGGAAAUGAGAUGAAAUCAACGAGUAAUUCAACCAUUAGAAUGGACUUUCACUCUGUAAUCACAAAGAAGGGGAAAGAUGAAGAUGAGGAUGGAGAUGGAGAUGAUGAGGAUGAGGAUGAUAACGGUGGUUUUUGCUGAUGCUGAUGAAAAGUAAUGACUGAAUGAGGAAGAUGAUGAGUUAACACAUCUCUUGGAAAGUGAGAAUAAAUUCAAAAAUUUGCUUUAAUUGUUUAAAUUAAAAUCUAAUUGAAACAUUUAAUUGGAAAAUUGAUUGAAAAAAAAGGUAACAACAACAACAUGAUUGUAAAGGCUCAAGUUAAAUAUGAUCAUCAUUAAGAUUAACAUUAUCACUCUGAUUGUUGGCAAGGAAAUCUUUUAGAACCAUGUUAUUUGUAUAUAAACUGAGAGUAUAUUUAUGAUCCUGUUUAUUGAUUAACCGUUGAUUAAGCUUCAUGUCCAAGAAAAAUUGAGAUUAAUGAUUGGAUUCAUACAUUUAUUUGACAACAUUAUCGACUUACCUUUAACACAUUACCUAAAAUGUGUAACAAUAUAUUUAGAUAUUAAAUGUAUAGUCAAGAGAGAUUCACCAAAACAAGAGUAACAACCCAUACAAAAAAUGUUAUAUCGUUUUUCACACUGUCAACUUUAUUUACUUCUCACUCUCAUCUUGAUCAUUUCUCUCUCUCUCCCGAAGCAUUAUCAUCAUCAUCAUCUCCAUCUUCAUCCCUCUUUGAGCCACAAGAAACAAGCAAAUUGCGCAAAUAACAAUAACAUAAAAGGAAAGAUUCAUCUUUAAAACAAGCCAAAAAUACAAGAGAAGAUGUAAAAUAAAUAUCAUCCUCAUCCUCAUCUUCAUCCUCAUCUUCAUCUUCAUCACCACCUACACAAACCCUAACAAGAUGAACAACUUAAGAUAUAUACUAUUACCUGAUUAUUUAAUUUAUAUUAACAGAGUUACACUUGAUUUAUAUUUAUUUGUUUCUAACUGACUUUCUUAAUGAUUUCAAAGUUGUACUUUAAUUUACUUUUAUCAUCACUAAUCUGUAAUGGAUAAACUUAUCAUGAUAAGUUACUUUCCUCUCCCACUUAUCUUCCUCAUCCUUUAAUCAUUAUUAUUAAUAUCAUAUUAUCAUCCUCAUUAUUAUCAUUGUAUCAUCCUCAUUAUAUUUAUUAGGAUAAAUUGUCAACAAUCACCAAAGGAAAGUUGAAAAAUCAAAUUGAAUCUUGACAGGAAAAUUUAAUAUCGUUAAGUUAAUUGUUUUAUAUGGUUAAGUAUAUUGAUCGUAAUUUAUAUAUAUUAAAUUGUCAAAAA